rnacentral:other from 1 species
AACACCCUGCGAUGCACGUGUUUAGCCGUUAAGUAUUGAGCCAACACCAAUACUUAGGGAAUCCUGCUCUGGCUGCAGCUUGUAUGCCUCCUUGCCGAGGAAACAAAAACCAGUCAGGGGGACACCCACCUGUUGAUAACAGGUUCAAAACAAGCGGCCCCACGGCAUAAGUGGGGUAUUU